CGGCAGCACGGACUUCGGUCUGGUGGCGAGUGGCGAACGGGUGAGUAAUGUAUCGGAACGUGCCCAGUAGCGGGGGAUAACUACGCGAAAGCGUAGCUAAUACCGCAUACGCCCUACGGGGGAAAGCAGGGGAUCGUAAGACCUUGCACUAUUGGAGCGGCCGAUAUCGGAUUAGCUAGUUGGUGGGGUAACGGCUCACCAAGGCGACGAUCCGUAGCUGGUUUGAGAGGACGACCAGCCACACUGGGACUGAGACACGGCCCAGACUCCUACGGGAGGCAGCAGUGGGGAAUUUUGGACAAUGGGGGAAACCCUGAUCCAGCCAUCCCGCGUGUGCGAUGAAGGCCUUCGGGUUGUAAAGCACUUUUGGCAGGAAAGAAACGUCAUGGGUUAAUACCCCGUGAAACUGACGGUACCUGCAGAAUAAGCACCGGCUAACUACGUGCCAGCAGCCGCGGUAAUACGUAGGGUGCAAGCGUUAAUCGGAAUUACUGGGCGUAAAGCGUGCGCAGGCGGUUCGGAAAGAAAGA
rnacentral:rRNA from 1 species